AUAGAACGCUGGCGGCAGGCCUAACACAUGCAAGUCGAGCGAGCGGAGGACGGGUGCGCAAGGUCUGGGAACCUGCCUGCGGGAGGGGGAUAACUACUGGAAACGGUCGCUAAUACCGCAUACCAUCAGACGUGCGUAGAUGGGAUUAGCUGGUAGGUGGGGGAACGGCUCACCUAGGCGACGAACCCUAGCUGGUCGUAGAGGCUGACCAGCCACACGGUAGCUGAGACACGGUCCAGACUCCUACGGGAGGCAGCAGUGGGGAAUAUGGCACAAUGGGCGCAAGCCGGAUGCAGCCAUGCCGCGUGUGUGAAGAAGGCCUUCGGGUUGUAAAGCACUUUCAGCGGGGAGGCGUUACCCGCAGAAGAAGCUCCGGCUAACUCCGUGCCAGCAGCCGCGGUAAUAC
rnacentral:rRNA from 1 species